UACGAAGGGGGCUAGCGUUGCUCGGAAUUACUGGGCGUAAAGGGCGCGUAGGCGGCGGCCCAAGUCAGGCGUGAAAUUCCUGGGCUCAACCUGGGGACUGCGCUUGAUACUGGGUUGCUUGAGGAUGGAAGAGGCUCGUGGAAUUCCCAGUGUAGAGGUGAAAUUCGUAGAUAUUGGGAAGAACACCGGCGGCGAAGGCGGCGAGCUGGUCCAUUACUGACGCUGAGGCGCGACAGCGUGGGGAGCAAACAGG
rnacentral:rRNA from 1 species